rnacentral:Y_RNA from 1 species
GGUUGGUUUGAGUGCAGUGGUAGUUAUAACUAAUUGAUCACAAUCAGUUACAGAUUCCUUUGUUCCUUCUCUACUAUUGCUUUACUUGACCAGUGGGAA